rnacentral:rRNA from 1 species
CAAACGGAGAGUUUGAUCCUGGCUCAGGACGAACGCUGGCGGCGUGCCUAACACAUGCAAGUCGAACGGAGAGAAGGAGCUUGCUCCUUCAAU